CAGCCGCCGCGGGAAUACGUAGGGCGCAAGCGUUAUCCGGAAUUAUUGGGCGUAAAGAGCUCGUAGGCGGUUUGUCGCGUCUGCCGUGAAAGUCCGGGGCUCAACCCCGGAUCUGCGGUGGGUACGGGCAGACUAGAGUGAUGUAGGGGAGACUGGAAUUCCUGGUGUAGCGGUGAAUGCGCAGAUAUCAGGAGGAACACCGAUGGCGAAGGCAGGUCUCUGGGCAUUAACUGACGCUGAGGAGCGAAAGCAUGGGGAGCGAACAGGAUUAGAUACCCCAGUAGUCCCUGUCUCUUAUACA
rnacentral:rRNA from 1 species